rnacentral:tRNA from 1 species
GGGAGUGUAGCUCAGUGGUAGAGCAUGAGUCCUGGGUUCAAUCUCCAGCACCCUCC